UGCAAAGACGUCUGGAAACUAUGGUGCGCACUUAGUAUAGCCAGGAAGUUUGAAGUGGGUGCGUGCGUGCGUGCAUAUAGAAGCACUGGAAAAGUUUUGAUCUGAGUGUUAGUGAGGAGAGACAGGAAGAGGCUUGUGGGUUGACAUGAGGCUUGCAUGUGUCUAUACAUUAGUGUUUAUGUGCUGGUGGAAAGGGUGGGGGGCUUCUUCACAUAGAGAGGUGCAAAGUAGCUACGCCAACAAGAAGGGUGGAGAUGAGAAAGAGCGAAACCGUUAACAGAUACUGAGGACCACACCAGUAUAUUCUGGAUACCCGAAACGGAGCUGACAAACAGACACGUGUGAAUGCCCGCUGUGUGGUGGGGCGUCUUGGCACUUGCUUUGUGCCGUGCCAAUAAAAGCUGACACCCAGUAGACCAUUACUGGCAGCCAUGCAUGAGAUGGGAUGAGGCGCGCGCAAGAGGAGUGGACCAUUCAUUGUUUAUUUAUUUCAUUCUCACUGAGGAUGCUGAUGGAGGAGGAAGGGGCGCGUUGGGGGGGGGGGGGGGGGUCACCCUUUCACUCGAAUAUUGGACAGCACCCCUUCUGUCACCUAUACCGGCAUCCCCUAUAAUUAACACUCCUAUUUCCACCUAAUGACUCUUCCACUCUUCUUUUUUUCGUGUUUCUUUUCUCUUAUGUAGCAAUCGUCGCCUUAGUGGCAAAGUUCCGUCCAUGGGUGUUAAAGUAUGCUGAAUAAACUUUUAAAUGUCUUUCCAUGGAUACAUAUGCAAUUAGAUGCAUGUUCAAUUCUGCAAAAUCUGUUUACUUCAUCAAAAUUUACAAUGUCAACAAAACAUAACAUGCCAUAUGUUAUUAAAGAAAUGGCUAAUUAUGAGUUGAAUGUACAUUCAUUAACCACUGUAUAGUCUCGUGAAACAAAUCCGGACAUAUUACAACAUGAUCAUAUCAGACAAGCUAUAUCAUAUCAUGGGAUAUAUUAUGGAAAUUGAUUUCUUAUUAGCUGGUAUACCAAUUGUUGGGUCAUCUGAGUGUCUGCACACUCAUCAAGUGUGAAAUUAAACAACCAAUGAAAUUAAAUCUAUACUACAUUUUUCUUGAAAAUGUGUCUGUGAUUCAGGCCAGCUGAAUUUUGUCCAAUUGUAAAGUGACAGUCUAAUUUACAUUUUAAGCACUCUUACUACACAGAGUUUCUCCGCCCAUGACUUGGCUGGGAGAAUAUCGGCUGUGUUCAAAUCCAAAAUGGAGGAAGCAGAGCUGCACUGAGUUUGACAAACUUCCAAAAGGGACAAAAAGCAGGUGUAACUUGAUCCUCGGGGGUAUUUUGUGACAAGAACAGACAUUUUUGCAAGACACAUGUGGAUUGUUUUGAAUUGCCAUAAAAACAAUAAAUAAAUAAAUACAUAAAUAAAUAGUCAAG